UACGUAGGGUGCAAGCGUUGUCCGGAAUUAUUGGGCGUAAAGAGCUCGUAGGCGGUCUGUCGCGUCGGCUGUGAAAACCCGGAGCUCAACUCCGGGCCUGCAGUCGAUACGGGCAAACUGGAGUGUUGCAGGGGAGACUGGAAUUCCUGGUGUAGCGGUGAAAUGCGCAGAUAUCAGGAGGAACACCGGUGGCGAAGGCGGGUCUCUGGGCAACUACUGACGCUGAGGAGCGAAAGCGUGGGGAGCGAACAGG
rnacentral:rRNA from 1 species